rnacentral:lncRNA from 1 species
ACCUCUUGAAGACCGUGACAGCUCUUCUAUUCUUAAUGUCUUGCUGCCCAAAGGUCCAAUUGAAUUAAAAUUGAAAGCGCAAUGCACGUGACCGUCCAGCUACAUUUUCAAUUCAGCGCUGCUCCAUUCUUCUGUUAAGCUCCCAAUUUACUUUGUUGAACCUUGGCUUUAUCUAAAAGCUAAAAACAUGUGCACNUCUUGCUUAAGUCAGCCCACAGCGAAGACGUCACCAUUUCUUCCAAAAUAGCCAUGCUUUGCUGGACAUGAGCUAAGGACGGGUGCAGGCCGAGAUUCUCCAAUUUCUUCAAAUUUUAAUUGCCAUCCUCACCCCUCAAUUACAAAAUCCACACCUUCUCACUCACUUAAGUUCAUUUUAACCUUUAGAUGUCCCAAGUUGUAUUUCCAAAAUUUUCCCUGAAAAUAAUAAUGCAAAUAAUUANCUCAGAAUAUUCAAAUUAAUUAAAAUUAGAAUUUCGGGUCAAAUUAAGCACAAUUAGGAAAAACGGGAAAAUAUCGGACAAUUAAGCUCAAUUCCCUGAUUAAAUUCCGUACAAUAAACUAAGUGAAAUCAAUAAAAUAUCGACUCAUCAAAAUAGACCACACUU